rnacentral:rRNA from 1 species
UACGUAGGGUGCGAGCGUUAAUCGGAAUUACUGGGCGUAAAGCGUGCGAAGGCGGUUUUGCAAGUCAGAUGUGAAAUCCCCGGGCUUAACCUGGGAAUGGCAUUUGGGACUGCAAGGCUGGAGUGCGGCAGAGGAGACUGGAAUUCCUGGUGUAGCAGUGAAAUGCGUAGAUAUCAGGAGGAACACCGAUGGCGAAGGCAGGUCUCUGGGCUGACACUGACGCUCAUGCACGAAAGCGUGGGGAGCAAACAGG